rnacentral:rRNA from 1 species
AACAACGCUGGCGGCGUGCCUAACACAUGCAAGUCGAACGGGAAAACAGGGGCAACUCUGUGAGUACAGUGGCGUACGGGUGAGUAACACGUGACUACCUACCCUCGAGUGGGGGAUAACCCCGGGAAACCGGGGCUAAUACCGCAUAACAUCGCAAGAUCAAAGGAGUAAUCCGCUUGAGGAGGGGGUCGCGGCUGAUUAGCUAGUUGGUGAGGUAACGGCCCACCAAGGCGAUGAUCGGUAGCCGGCCUGAGAGGGCGCACGGCCACACUGGAACUGAAACACGGUCCAGACUCCUACGGGAGGCAGCAGUGGGGAAUUUUGCGCAAUGGGGGAAACCCUGACGCAGCAACGCCGCGUGGAGGAUGAAGUCCCUUGGGACGUAAACUCCUUUCGACCCGGACGAUAAUGACGGUACGGGUGGAAGAAGCACCGGCUAACUUCGUGCCAGCAGCCGCGGUAAUACGAGGGGUGCGAGCGUUGUUCGGAAUUAUUGGGCGUAAAGGGCGCGUA